AAUUAAAUAACGAGAGUGUAAUAAUAACCCGACAACCCAAAAAAUGAUUAAUUAAAAAAUUAAGAAAAGAAAACCUAAAGCUCAAUUUUCUCUCCAGCUCCACGAUACUACCUUAUUUUCCAUCUCCACUAAAAUCUAACCUAAAACCACGACAACCAUGACCACGACGAACGAGGAUGGCAGCGAUGAACAACGACGACUGAUGGUGACCUUCGGCGACGACCGACGUCUGACGGUGACCCACUCCUACGAGGCUCGUGAACAGUAGAGAUUUAGUAAAUAAAUAUUGAUGCAAAUGAGAAUAAGAAUAGUGUUUCAUGUAUAAGGUAUUGAAUAAGUAGUUUCCGUGUGAAAUGGUUUUGAAGAUGAAAAGGGUUUACAAGCAACAACAUCUAACAACUUAAAAAAGGCUUUUCUUUCUUUGUUUUAUUAAGAACCCAAGACUAGUUUGGUGUGAUGUUAAAAUCCACGUGUUGUUCACCGAUUUUCUUCCGAUAAAAUUUGCUUCUAUGUAGCCCAUAUCUUUUAGUAACCUGAUCAUCCCUUCAUUUGAUGCCCUUUCAUUAUGGCUCUUUCCUAUCACUUUUUCUAACUUUUAACUUGACAAGGCAAAUAUGUGUUUCUACGUGGAUCUUUGCUAUAAAAAAGGGUAAGUUCUUAUAUUGGAAACCUUACGAAGAAAUUACUAUUAUUUAUUUUUUAUUAUUUUGUAUUUAUGACCAUAACUGCACAUCAUACCCUGCAUAUGCAUUUUCUUAAAUGAAAAUAUAAUAUGCUUGAACAGCUAGCUUCAUCAAUUGAAACAUAAUUCUUGAGUUGUCAUGCAGUCUAAUAUUGAAACUCUUGCUCUUUUCUACAUGCAGGAAAACAUUUAUUAAGGACAUGUUAUGAAAGAAUCCAAAGCAUAGAGUAAAUGUUAGCUUUUCCUCAUAUUUAUAUUUUACAAACUUUAAGAUUUUUCAUAUUAGAUAUAGAGCUAGCUAGAACAAUAUCUUCAUAUGGUAGAAGUUUGAAUUAUUAUAAUUAAGUAUGCAAUGGCUAACUAUAUGUAUUGUCCAAUGAUAUAUGCAAUUUGUUAAAAUAUUAGUUCUUUGAUGGAAAAAGUUCGGGUUGAUUCAAUUGUUUAAUUAAUAUACAUAGUUUAGCAACUUUGUGUAAUCUCAAAGGCUUUACUUGUAUGUGUGUGAAUGGACUUCAAAACAGGUGCAAUAUAAUUAUAUGAAUAUUUCAAAUUAAACAAUUUUUCAUUUGGCAGAAAAAAAAAUGUUAACAUGCAAAACGUGUCAAGAAUAAACAAAUUUUGCUUGACGCGUAAAAACUGUCAAACAAAAAACUCCUUUAUUCUUGACAUUGGAUUAUUUGAUGUGUAAAAAGUGUCAAGUAAUCUCAUAUACUUAAUGUUUUUUAACCUAUCAAGUAAAAUUAUCGUAUUUGACGUUUAAAAACUGUCAAGUAAACUUUCAUUAUUCUUGACAUUAGAUUACUUGAUGCAUGAAAAAGCGUAAAGUAAACAAGUACUUGAUAGGUAAAAAGAGUCAAGUAUUGCCAGUUAUGUAGUAGUGACUUUCUAUUUCAUCGUCUUCGAUCGUCUCUCCUUCUCAAUCUUUAUUGUGUUGUUGUCGGCGUUUCAUUGUGUUACUGUCGACGUUCCCUCGGUCUUUUUAGGACUAUAAAACAAUACAACUCAACAACUCCAUCCAAUCCAACCUAUAUUUUACAGGUAAGGUCGUUGGAAAUAUUAUUUGGGUUAUUCGAGUUGUCAACUCAAAAAUAUAGAUUGGAUUGAAA
rnacentral:lncRNA from 1 species